rnacentral:rRNA from 1 species
GUGGGGAAUAUUGGACAAUGGGCGCAAGCCUGAUCCAGCAAUGCCGCGUGCAGGAAGAAGGCCUUUUGGUUGUAAAGCACUUUAAGCGAGGAGGAGGCUACCGAGAUUAAUACUCUUGGAUAGUGGACGUUACUCGCAGAAUAAGCACCGGCUAACUCUGUGCCAGCAGCCGCGGUAAUACAGAGGGUGCGAGCGUUAAUCGGAUUUACUGGGCGUAAAGCGUGCGUAGGCGGCUUUUUAAGUCGGAUGUGAAAUCCCCGAGCUUAACUUGGGAAUUGCAUUCGAUACUGGGAAGCUAGAGUAUGGGAGAGGAUGGUAGAAUUCCAGGUGUAGCGGUGAAAUGCGUAGAGAUCUGGAGGAAUACCGAUGGCGAAGGCAGCCAUCUGGCCUAAUACUGACGCUGAGGUACGAAAGCAUGGGGAGCAAACAGGAUUAGAUACCCUGGUAGUCC